ACUGAUAAAACCAAAUAUUAAUCUUGGAAACUGAAUAGCACAAUUAAUUCUGUUGGAACUGGCUCACAAACAGUCUUUGUUGUGAUUCCGUGUUUCUCGUGGAUCUCUGGAGACAGCUUCCGGCUUGAGGAGAGAAUAUCAAUAGCCCA
rnacentral:lncRNA from 1 species